GGGUUCCCAGCUUCGAGGGCUGACUACGAGAUGACUCUGCCGGCCGGCGUGUCCGUCUGUCCCACACAAGGUCCAGCUAGCUGCACGGGCUGAGGGUACAGCGCGUGUCCUGACAGCCACGCCCAGGCCACAGUCAGUCACGGAGGCCAACGAGACCUGCGGACCGAAGCGCGUCCCAGCAGGCGGUGGUGUCAGCCUGCAGCCCGGGAGUGGUCCCUGCUUUCCAGAAACGGAAGACAUAAAGAAAGGUGUCAGCUGGCCUAGGACCGUGACGCUCAGAGCGUUAUCAGUCAGCAGAAGACGUAACAAGAAACCGUGAAGGGGUUUGCAAAUGAGGCAGCUACAGGUCCGGAUUUCUACGGCUUGAACAUGGUGCCAUAUAUAUCCGAGGCCUGACAAUUAAGUUUGCGAACUCGUCCUAGAAAAACUGCUCCAUCCCUCACUGCUGAAUGUCACCACAGUCACCUUCGAAGUCCUCCGAG